UCUGCUGCCUCUGGGCAGACAUUAAUUUUCCUAUGGGAAUCUCUCUUUGUAUCUAGGAGUUGAAAGAAAAAGUGUAACACUGAGGAAACUUUGUGUCAGCCUGGCUCUUUUGCAGAUAUUGUGUUCAUUUUGUUGGGACCUUUCUAUGUCCAGCUGUUAACGUAUCGGCUCUUAGUUCAAUUUCAGUUUAUUGUCAUUCAGCAAUACACAUGUAUACUGUCAAAGGAAACAAUAUUCUUAUGGACCAAGGUGCACAACACAGUACAUAUAACUCUCACACAUAACACAUAAAGUAAUAUCAGCUCAAAUAAAUGAAUAAAUAAUAAGACACGUACAAGUUAAAAUGUAUGAUGCUACUGGCACUUCAUACGUGAUGAAACAUGGGUGGUGGCAGGUAGUUCAGUCAUCUUACAACUUGGGGGAAAAAGUUGUUUUCAUAAGACCAUAAGAUAUAGGAACAGAAGUAGGCCAUUCGGCCCAUUGAGUCUGCUCCACCAUUCAAUCAUGGCUGAUCCAAUUCAUCCAGUCGUCCCCACUCCCUUACUUUCUCUCCAUACCUUCCGAUGCUUUGGCUAAUCAAGAACCUAUCUACCUCUGCCUUAAAUGCACUCAAUGACUUGGCUUCCACAGCUGCUUGUGACAACAAAUUCCACAGAUUUACCACCCACUGACUUAAGUCAUGUCCCCGCAUCUCUGUUCUAAAUGGACACCCUUCAAUCCUGAAGUCGUGCCCUCUAGUCCCAGACUCCCCUACAAUGGAAAAUAACUUGCCAUAUCUAAUCUGUUCAGGCCUUUUAACAUUCAAAAUGCUUGUAUGAGAUUCCCCCUCAUUCUCCAAGAGCUUCCUCAGAUGGUUUCCCAUCCAAGCAAUUCUUGUCCUAAUGCUACGGUAUUUCCUGCCUAAUGGUAGGGGCUCAAUGAGCUUGUGGGAUGCAUGGGAGGGAUCAGUGACAAUACUAAGUUGUGUCAUCAGCAAACUUGAUCGCUAUGAACUGGAUCUAGCAAUGCAGUCAUGCAUCAGCAGCACGAGCAGCAGUGGGUUUAGCUUGUAGCGGUGGAAAACACUGGUGCUCAGCGUGAUGGAACUAGAGAUGUUUAUACCACUGCAAAUUGACUAUGGUCUUUCUGUCAAGAUAUCCAGGAUCUAGUCACAGGGAUCCUUGAAGCCUGAGGGGACUAUGGAUAGUUCCAGAGAAAUGUUACAGAUGUCUGCUAGAACCUCAAUUAACUGGGUUGCACAGUCCCUCUGCACCCAUGAAGGUACAUUAUCAGGCCCAAAGCUUUACAUGGACUCUGGCUAUUAUCUUCCUCACAUCAGCUGCAGCCAAAUAGAGUGCCUGCUCCUCAGGGGGAAGAGGGGAGGUCUCCCUGCCAGUACAUCACUCCCUACAUCAGUCUGAGAGUAAAGGACAUUCAGCUUGUCAAGAAGAGAAACAUCACUAUCAUUGAGGCGCAGGGUGGAUUUGUAGUCUGUUAUGGCCUCAAUGCCCUGCAGCAUACACCUCAUGUCUCUAGCUAUAGUUAAACCCCGAUUGAACGCAAAUUUGGUUAUAACAGGUUGAGUCAUUGGACUCCAUGUCCAUGUCAAUCCAUACUCCUCUUCUCCAGCCUUGUAUCCCUUUUGCCAAUCAACUUCCCCAGCUCUUGGCUUCAUCGCUCCCCCUCCUGUCUUCUCCUAUCAUUUCAGGUCUCACCCUCCCCCUCCUACUUUCAAAUCUCUUACUAUCUCUUUUUUUCCAUUAGUCCUGAUGAAGGGUCUCGACCAGAUGCUGCAUGGCCUGCUGCAUCCCACCAGCAUUUUGUGAGUCAUUGGACCUUUUUUUAUGCUCAAAAUGGAACAAACUGCUGGAAAAAGAAAAUCUUUUUCUGUGAAAGAUAAGCUUCAAGCAUUUGACACGAUCAAGACUAAAAGUCAAAUUCAAGUUGCACGAGACCUCGGGACACCAGAAUCAACACUUCAUGGCUGGAAAUCUCACGAAGAAAAGUUACGUGCAUUGCUUUGCAAAGUUGAAGAAAAAGCAGGACUAAUAGCCAAAUGCCUGAAGACAGCCCAAAAUGUCAGCCUCGAUGACACCCUGUACGAGUGGUUCAUUCAAGCUCGCUCAAAAGGCCUUCCAAUUUCCGGUCCUAUUCUCAAAGCUCAAGCCAAGAAGUUUGACAAGCAGAUCAAUGGAGAAACUUCACAGUUCAAAGCUAGUGAUGGAUGGCUAGACCGGUUUAAACGCUGUCACAGGAUUUCUCAACUGUUAGUGUCAGGAGAAAUUCGCUCAGCCAACAGUGCUGCCGCCAGCGAAUACCCGGCUGAAUGAAAAACUCUCUUAGAAGAAGGUGGCUACAUGGAAGAACAAGUGUACAACUGUGAUGAAACAUGCCUCAGCAACAAGAUGGUCACAGACCAUACACUGGCUAGCAAAGAUGACGCCCACCGACGUGAGGGGUUCAAACAACAUAAAGAUCCUGUUGGCUGGAGACCCAGGAGGUGGACCACAUAAAAAACCUGCAAUUCAGAAGCAUUCUAGAUUUCUCUCGCAGCCAGCGACAUGCUACAUUCAAGCAAGGAGCACUCAAUCACUUUUUAAAGAAAUAAACUGUAAAUGAUAAUUGCUAAUGUUCUUGAAUGUUUUUAUUUGUUGUUUUGCAUAUUAAAAAGCUUUACUAAAAAUUAAUUUGUGUUUUAAUUUUUACAGUAACAACAAAGUAAACAUGCAAAAAAUAGGUAAAAUAGGGGUGUUUUAGGAUGUUAAGUCAACAUUGGGUCAGUUUGAAUGCUGAUUUUGUUGGACACUGAUAUAGCGCGAUCCUGCUUUUUUCACGAUGACAUCUUAUGGACCCAAACGAUCACGUUAUAACGGGGUUUCACUGUAUAUAUUUUCUGUGAGUAAUCCCUGUCACGAUGUGCACUGCUAAUACCAGAACCCUAAUGCAGAGGGAAAAUAGACUCUGAUUUAGAGAUGGUGAUGUGCGUUUAUUCAUAAUAAUUCCAAAGAAAUAUCAGAGGCUCAGACGAACAAUACCAUGAGAAGUACCAUUCUCAAAACUAGGGCCCUGUGGUUAGCAGUAAUUGGGCAUCCACUUAAAUAAUACAAGUAAUAUGGAAUCUUUGAGCUUAUCAAAAUAAACUUAACAAGCUCACCAAGAGACCACAUUAUAAAGAGCACAUUGCUCAAGGAAAACUCAAGGAACUCUAAAUGAUUAAUGACAAUUGUUAAAUGAUGAUUAACCAGUUCAGGUGCUCUAAAAAUCUUGGAGCCCAGUGCUCUCCAGCACCCUGCACAACAUGAAAAAACUCGUUUGAAACCCCAUUUUGCCUUCUUGAUGGUACAGAAAAGUGCAGCUCUUGCUGACCUGAGAGCUGUCCUAACGGCCAAUCUGAAGGCAGCAUGUCAAUCUCUCAGCAGGAUCUCGAUCUCUGCUGUCAGCCAUGGCUUCUGAUUUUCCCUCACGUGGAUGUGUUUAAAAACAGUUAUGCCCUCAAUGCACUUCUCUAUGUAGCCAACAACAGAUCUUGCAUAUUCAUUGAUGGUAAUGUGAUUUUCAUAGGUAGCCACCGCCCCGAUCACGUUUCAUUCUGAGUUUUCAAAACAGAACUGUAAUACUGAAGUUGCUGCUUCUGGUCAGGUCUUUAUCUCCUUUUGAAAUGAUUUGACAAAGGUUGGUAUGCAGGAAUCAGCAUAACAGAUUUAGGUCAGAGAAUCUCAGGUGGGGACAGGAAGCAGCCUUGUAUGAACAGAGGUGUUGGUUUAAACCACUUUGAUGUGUUCUCAAUCUUGUUGUGGAGAAGCUUGGUAACACACAAGUGGAAGAUGUUAAAGAGGACUGGUGCUAGCACACACCCCUGUCUCACUCUUGUGCGUACAAGGGAGGGCUCGGACUCUUGACCUCCUAUGGUCACCUGAGCAGUCAUCCCAUUCUAAAACUGGCGGAGGAUGCUAACAAAUUUAUUGGGACAGCCAAACCUGAGGAGAACAUCCCAUAGGAGCUCUCUUUGCACAUUGUCAAAUGCUUUGAAGAAGUCAACAAAGGCCAUAAACAGGUCCUGAUGUUGCUCCCGGCAAUUUUACUGAAGCUUCCAGGCUGUGAAGAUCAUGUUGAUUGUGCUCCUGUUCUUCCUAAAUCCACACUGUGAUUAUUGAGGUCGUGAUUACCCAACAUCAGCUGCAGUGGCUGGGGCAUGUGAUAAGGAUGCCCCCAUGUCGGCUACCCCGCAGAGUGUUAUCAGCUCAGGAAGGGUUUGCAAGCCAUUACUUCCUACAAGGCAAAACCUAACAUCAUGCAUGGCUGUGAUGCUUCACUCCCAGAUGAGCUCAACAUCUUUUAUGUAUGCUUUGAAAGGGAGAAUAAAAUGACACCUGUGCCAACCUCUGCAGCAUCUGGUAACCCUGUGAUUUCUCUCUCGGAGGCCGAAGUCAGAACAUCUUUCAAGAGGGUGGACCCUCACAAGGCAGCUCUAAUGCAUGUACCUGGUGGGACAUUGCGCCAAUGUGCUUGCGGCGGUGUUCAAGGUGAUCUUGUGUAAGUAUGUACAAUUUAUACAUUGAUAAUAAAUGUACUUCCUCAAAAACUCUAUAAGAUUGGAUAGACACAACUUAGCAUGCACAUAGCCAUGUUCACUAUCCCUAACCAGUCCCUGCCUAUCCAAACACUCAUAUAUAUUCAUUCCUUUGGAAUACCUUCCAAUAACUAUCCCACUAUUGAUGUCAGGCUCUCUGGCCUACAAUUUCCUGGUAUAUUUUUAGAGCUUUCUUAACAUUACCUACCCUCCAAUCCUCUGGUACCUCACCUGCCCCUAAGGAUGAUUUAAAUAUCUCUGCUGGAGUCCUGCAAUUUCUGCACUUGCCUCACCCAGGGUCCAAGUAAGCACCAUGCUUGUCAGGCCCUGGAGAUUAACCCACCCUAACUUGACUGAAGAUGGCAAUCACUUCCUCCUCAGUAAUCUCUAUAGAGUCCAUGGCCUCACUGCACUUUGCCUCACUUCCGUACACUCUGUGUCCAUCUCUCAAGUAAGCAGAGAUGCAAAAAAUCCUCUUAAGAUAUUCCCCCAUCUCUUAUGGGUUCAUGAAUAGAUUACCACUCUCAUCUUUCAGAGGACCGAUUUUGUCCCUUGCAAUUUUUUUGCCCUAAAUAUAUCUGUAGAAACAAUUAGGAUUUUCCUUCAUCUUGCCUGCUAGGGCAACCUCAUGCCUUCUUUUAGCCCUCCUGAUUUCUUGAGUGUUCUUUUGCAUUUCUUAUACUCCAUUAGUACUCUUUUGUUCCUACCUGCUGUGCCCCUCCUUUUUUUUCUAAACCAGAAUCUCAAUAUCUCUUGAAAACCAAUGCUCCCUAAACCUGUUAUCUUUAACUUUUACUCUGACAGGCAUAUACAAGCUUUGUACUCUCAAAAUUUCAUUUUUGAAAGCCUCCUGUAUACCAACUACACCUUUGCCAAAAAACACCCUGUUCCAAACCACUCUUGCCAGAUCCUUUCUCAUGCCUUCGAAAUUGGCCUUUCUUCAAUUUAGAAUCAAUAAUAUGUAUUGUAAUGUAAUCCUGUCACAAAAUAACAAAUUUUAUUAUGUAUGCCUGUGAUAUUAAAUCUGAUUCUGAAGGUAGGAGGAUGGGGUUAGGACAAGUAAUAAAUAAGUCAUGGUGAAAUUUCAGAGCAACUCCAUGGGCUGAAUGGUUCUUAUGUCUUAUAAUUUUAUGGUCCAUUACACCCUCUCACAACCUUCUUUGUUGCACUAACCCAAGUUCUACACCUAUUCACAUAACUGAAGUUCCCCAUCCCUGUAAGUUUUUUAGUAAUACUUUCCAACAACAUCGCAAAAGCUGCUUCAUCUGUCCUGCAACCCACAAAUGGACAUCACAUUCCAGAGAUGAAGAGGGAAGAUGCGUGUGGAGAGAGCUGGUAGACCACCGGACAAUGUGGACUGGGAUCUGAGGGCCAGAAGGUCGACGAUGCUUGGUAGAGACUGAUGGUGGAAGAAGGACCUACAGAAACUGCUCAAGCUCUGUCAGGUUACAUGGAAAUUGUGAGGGAAUAGCCACAAAUUCUCAAUCGGAUUGAGGUCUGGACUCUGACUUAGCCACUCUAGGCUCAGGACAUUGUAUUCUAGCUCUGAACUCAGAACACUGAUACCUGACCUUCAGCUCAUCAAGCUACAAUGUGCAGUUGCAGAUGUCAGAAACAGGCUGAACUGUGAAGAGAAUUUCAUAGGCAGUAAUUAUGAUAUUUAAAGAAAUACUGAUUUGGCUGGUCCUAUGUGUCUUUGAACGUCUUUAAACUCCAUUUAGAAAUCCGGGGUCAGGAAAUACACAGAUCUGCCUCAAACUACUAAAUUACUUUGGUGGAAGUGAAUGUCAGAAAGCAUAAAGAGAAGAUUCAUUCUUGCUCAAUUUCAAGUUCAUCUUCAUUGCUGCAAUCGGAAUACAUACACAAGGUCUGUUAUAGAGUCAUAGUGAUUACACCUGGAAACGCCCUUUGGCCCAACUCAACCAUGCUGAACUCAACAUGCAGCAGUCAAGCCUGCUGUAAAACUGAAAGCAAAGUGCAUCCACCUCCUCUCAUCAGCAUGACUUUGAUUUGCCAUCAAGCUCACUGACACGUCAAGAAGGAGAUUCAGUGUAACUGGAAUCUGUCCUCCAGGUGAUGAAGAGAGAUGAUACUAGGAAGAAGCAGUCAUAGGAUCCGUAUCAGUGGGAGACCCGUUUGUUCAAGAUGGAUGCAAGUGACAUUCUGAAGUGGUGUGUGCUUUCACAUUGACCGAGAGCCCAGUGCAUGAGUGACAGAGAAGUUCACAAUGAGCUCCAACUCAUGCACAUUGGAUUGUUUAAUUAAAAUGGGCCCUUCUCUUUUAUGUUUUUCUUUACUAACCCUUCAGUUAAUUUAAGAUUCAGAAAUAUAAUUCCUUUAAUCAUGUGCAGUGUACUGUCUGUUAAUUUGUGGCACUAAUUAGCAAAUUAGCAUCUACACAAACCAGUGUUUGGGAUGGCAGAGCUGUCUCAAUCUUAUGGGUUUGGCAGCACUGGAGAGUGUUUCCCAUCGACCUACGCAGCCAAGGAAACCAGGGGGUUUCAUGUAUAUCUAGACCUCCAUAUUCCUGACUUCAGAAC